rnacentral:lncRNA from 1 species
CAUCUCCACUCCCUCUUGUCCCCUCAACACCCCUCUGUCCCCAACAUCCUUCCCUCGUCCCACCACACUCCCUCUGUCCCAUCAACACUCCCUCUGUUCCCAUCAACACUCCCUCCCUUUGUCCCACCAACACUCCCUCCUUGCCCAUCAACACUCCCUCCCUCUGUCCCAUCAACACUCCCUCCCUCUGUACCCUCACACUCCUCCUCGUGUCCCCUCAACACUCCCUCCUCCCUCUGUCCCAUCAACACUCCCUCCCUUGUCCAUCAACACUCCCCUCCCUGUGUCCCAUCAACCCCCCUCCUCCUUGUCCCACCAACACUCCCUCCCUCUGUCCCACGCAUACACUCUCCUCCCUCUGUCCCACCAACACUCCCUCUGUCCCACCAACACUCCUUCCCUCUGUCCCACCAACACUCCCUCUGUCCCACCAACACUCCUUCCCUCUGUCCCACAACACUCCCUCUGUCCCACCAACACCCUUCCCUCGUCCCACCAACACUCCUGC